CAGUAGUCAUAUGCUUGUCUCAAAGAUUAAGCCAUGCACGUCUAAGGAUAAAUAUUAUUUAACCAUAAACCUGCGAAAGGCUCAUUAAAUCAGUAAUAAUCUAUUCUAUUAUUUAAUCCUAUUUGGAUAACUGUAGUAAUUCUAGAGCUAAUACAUGCAAAAAACCUGGACUUUUACAGAACAGGUGUACUUAUUAGACUUUAAAACCGAUUACAAUUUAUUGUAAAUUUAAAAUGAAUUAAAAUAAGUUUAUGAAUCGCAGAUCAUUUUGUGAUGAUAAGAAUGAAUUUCUGCCCUAUCAACUUUCGAUGGUAAUGUAGUGGAUUACCAUGGUGAUGACGGGUAACGGGGAAUUAGGGUUUGAUUCCGGAGAAAAGGCCUGAGAGACGGCCAUUACUUCUAAGGAAGGCAGCAGGCGCGUAAA
rnacentral:rRNA from 1 species